UACGCAGGGUGCAAGCGUUACUCGGAAUUACUGGGCGUAAAGGGUGCGUAGGUGGUUUGUUAAGUCUGCUGUGAAAUCCCCGGGCUCAACCUGGGAAUGGCAGUGGAUACUGGCAAGCUAGAGUGCGGUAGAGGGUAGUGGAAUUCCCGGUGUAGCAGUGAAAUGCGUAGAGAUCGGGAGGAACACCAGUGGCGAAGGCGGCUACCUGGACCAGCACUGACACUGAAGCACGAAAGCGUGGGGAGCAAACAGG
rnacentral:rRNA from 1 species